rnacentral:lncRNA from 1 species
ACUCCCAGUCGGAAGUUACGGUUGAAGCCCAGGCAGCCAUAAUUGAUAAUGGCAGGAGGCGUUUCCUGUCACCCGUUUGACGUAUACUUUUCCUGCAUUCGGUCCCCUCCGUUGCCCCAGGCAACAGCAGAGCCAUCUGGAAAGGGCUGCACCUAUAUUGUCUCUUGUAGUUCCUUCUGUGGGCAUUUUGAGUCAAGAAGUCAACCGUUCUGAUAACUACAGAUCAGAUUCCUAAAGCUGCAAGAAAAAGAUAACAAUUUUCAGGAGCGAAAGCACUGUACCCAGCAGUUUACAGAUGGCAGAAGUGAAGUCGAUGUUCCGAGAAGUCCUUCCAAAACAAGGGCAGUUGUCUGUGGAAGAUGUAACCACAAUGGUGCUGUGUAAACCCAAGCUUUUACCCUUAAAAUCUCUGACUUUGGAAAGACUGGAGAAAAUGCAGCAAACAGCACAGGACACAGUUCGCCAACAAGAAAUGGCAGAAAAAGACAACCGGCAAAUAACCCACUAGCCACUCCCGCUUUAAAGAAUCCCUAACUGUUCAGUGACUAGAACUAUUCUGCAUCUGUAGGCUAAGGAAUCCUAACUGUUCAGUGACUAGAACUAUUCUGCAUCUGUUCAGUGACUAGAGACUAUUCUGCAUCCGUAGGCUAAAAAUGCUUAAACUGGUCAUUCCAAACUUAAAACAGAAAAUUCAGGUGUUUAAACAUUGGUUUGUGUUAAGAGAAAAACUUUGAACCAGGUUUUACGGAAUUUUCAAAGUUUUUAAAUUAUAAAUUUCUCACCUUGUUUAUCGCACCUAUUGUUAGGAGUGUAAGAAAUUAAAUGCGUCUUUUGUGGAUGAAGGAUUUCUUUAUGUUUAUUAAACACCUGAAUCUGAAAAUAAACUCUUACUGUGAACAU